rnacentral:lncRNA from 1 species
UCCGAUUCUCCUUCCUUCAAUUCUUCAUUUUCCCUUUCAUUCAAGCUUUUUUAUUUUUCUAUAUUUUAACAACAAGCAAAACUGAGAAUACAAAAUCUAAAGGGAAGAACCAAAAAACCAGAAAAAAAAAGCAAAAACAGAGACCCGGAACUCAUACCUGGCUCCGGCCUGGUAUGUUCGUUGAAUCCGACCAACAACACAACAGCUAACGGGACCACAAACAAAUUUUAUGGCAAGAUUAAUGUAUUCGAG